rnacentral:rRNA from 1 species
UGUACACGGGUGAGCGGCAGACGGGUGAGUAACGCGUGGGAACGUACCUUUUGGUUCGGAAUAGCCCUUGGAAACGAGGAGUAAUGCCGAAUAAGCCCUACGGGGGAAAGAUUUAUCGCCGAAAGAUCGGCCCGCGUUAGAUUAGCUUGUUGGUGAGGUAAUGGCUCACCAAGGCGACGAUCUAUAGCUGGUCUGAGAGGAUGAUCAGCCACACUGGGACUGAGACACGGCCCAGACUCCUACGGGAGGCAGCAGUGGGGAAUCUUGGACAAUGGGCGAAAGCCUGAUCCAGCCAUUCCGCGUGGAUGAUGAAGGCCUUAGGGUUGUAAAAUCCUUUCAGCAGGGAAGAUAAUGACGGUACCUGCAGAAGAAGCCCCGGCUAACUCCGUGCCAGCAGCCGCGGUAAUACGGAGGGGGCUAGCGUUGUUCGGAAUUACUGGGCGUAAAGCGCACGUAGGCGGAUCAGUCAGUCAGAGGUGAAAUCCCGGAGCUCAACUUCGGAACUGCCUUUGAUACUGCUGAUCUGGAGUUCAUGAGAGGUGUGUGGAAUUCCGAGUGUAGAGGUGAAAUUCGUAGAUAUUCGGAGGAACACCAGAGGCGAAGGCGACACACUGGCAUGAUACUGACGCUGAGGUGCGAAAGCGUGGGGA